rnacentral:rRNA from 1 species
GAUGAACGCUGGCGGCGUGCCUAAUACAUGCAAGUCGAGCGAACGGACGAGAAGCUUGCUUUUCUGAUGUUAGCGGCGGACGGGUGAGUAACACGUGGAUAACCUACCUAUAAGACUGGGAUAACUUCGGGAAACCGGAGCUAAUACCGGAUAAUAUUUUGAACCGCAUGGUUCAAAAGUGAAAGACGGUCUUGCUGUCACUUAUAGAUGGAUCCGCGCUGCAUUAGCUAGUUGGUAAGGUAACGGCUUACCAAGGCAACGAUGCAUAGCCGACCUGAGAGGGGGAUCGGCCACACUGGAACUGAGACGCGGUCCAGACUCCUACGGGAGGCAGCAGUAGGGAAUCUUCCGCAAUGGGCGAAAGCCUGACGGAGCAACGGCGCGUGAGUGAUGAAGGUCUUCGGAUCGUAAAACUCUGUUAUUAGGGAAGAACAUAUGUGUAAGUAACUGUGCACAUCUUGACGGUACCUAAUCAGAAAGCCACGGCUAACUACGUG